GACGAACGCUGGCGGCGUGCUUAACACAUGCAAGUCGAACGAAGAGCGAUGGAAGCUUGCUUCUAUCAAUCUUAGUGGCGAACGGGUGAGUAACGCGUAAUCAACCUGCCCUUCAGAGGGGGACAACAGUUGGAAACGACUGCUCAUACCGCAUACGAUCUGACCUCGGCAUCGAGGAUAGAUGAAAGGUGGCCUCUAUUGAUAUGCUAUCACUGAAGGAGGGGAUUGCGUCUGUUUAGUUGGGUGGCGGGGUAACGUACCACGUAGGCGGGGGUGAGUAGCCGGACGGAGAGGAUGGACGGCCACAUUGGGACGGAGACACGGCCCAGACUCCUACGGGAGGCAGCAGUGGGGAAACUUCCGCAAUGGACGGAAGUCUGACGGAGCAGCGCCGCGUGAGGGAUGACGGCCGUCGGGUUGUAAAGCUCGGUUAAUCGGGACGAAAGGGCUUCUUGCGAAUAGUUAGAAGGAUUGACGGUACCGGAAUAGAAAGCCACGGCUAACUACGUG
rnacentral:rRNA from 1 species